rnacentral:rRNA from 1 species
UGGGGAAUAUUGGACAAUGGGCGAAAGCCUGAUCCAGCCAUGCCGCGUGUGUGAAGAAGGUCUUCGGAUUGUAAAGCACUUUACGUUGGGAGGAAGGGCAUUAACCUAAUACGUUAGUGUUUUGACGUUACCGACAGAAUAAGCACCGGCUAACUCUGUGCCAGCAGCCGCGGUAAUACAGAGGGUGCCAGCGUUAAUCGGCAUUACUGGGCGUAAAGCGCGCGUAGGUGGUUUGUUAAGUUGGAUUUGAAAUCCCCGGGCUCAACCUGGGAACUGCAUUCAAAACUGACUGACUAGAGUAUGGUAGAGGGUGGUGGAAUUUCCUGUGUAGCGGUGAAAUGCGUAGAUAUAGGAAGGAACACCAGUGGCGAAGGCGACCACCUGGACUAAUACUGACACUGAGGUGCGAAAGCGUGGGGAGCAAACA